GUGUCAGCAGCCGCGGUAAUACGGAGGGUGCAAGCGUUAUCCGGAAUCACUGGGUUUAAAGGGUGCGUAGGCGGUGGCGUAAGUCAGUUGUGAAAUUCCCCGGCUUAACCGGCGGGAGUGCGAUUGAUACUGUGUCACUUGAAUGAGGUUGAGGUAGGCGGAAUGUGGCAUGUAGCGGUGAAAUGCAUAGAUAUGCCAUAGAACACCGAUUGCGAAGGCAGCUUGCUGGACCUUAAUUGACGCUGAGGCACGAAAGCGUGGGGAGCAAACAGGAUUAGAUACCCCUGUAGUCC
rnacentral:rRNA from 1 species